rnacentral:rRNA from 1 species
CUAUACAUGACUCUGCGCAUAUCAAUAAGCGGAGAAAAGUACUACCUACGCUUAGGAUGUUGACGAGACUGUCGAUCUCCAUCUAUACAUGACUCUGCGCAUAUCAAUAAGCGGAGGAAAAGUCAAUAUACCUACGCUUAGGAUGUUGACACACGCGCGUGCUCGGCUCUAUACAUGACUCUGUGCAUAUCAAUAAGCGGAGGAAAAGAAACUAACAAGGAUUCCCCUAGUAACGGCGAGUGAAGCGGGAAGAGCUCAAAUUUGAAAUCUUAAAGGGUUUCCCUUUACGAAUUGUAGUUUAAAGAAGUGUUUUCUGUUGAGGUUUUGGUAAAAGUUCUUUGGAAUAGGACAUCAUAGAGGGUGAGAAUCCCGUAUUUGACCUUUACUUUCAACUUUGUGAUACACUUUCAAAGAGUCGGAUUGUUUGGGAAUGCAGUCCAAAAUGGGUGGUAAAUUUCAUCUAAAGCUAAAUAUUGGCGAGAGACCGAUAGCGAACAAGUACCGUGAGGGAAAGAUGAAAAGAACUUUGAAAAGAGAGUUAAACAGUACGUGAAAUUGUCAAAAGGGAAGCGUUUGACACCAGUGUUGUUUUUCUGAAAAUCAAUUAAAGAACUGUUUAUGCUAAGUUGUUUAGACUUUAUCAGCUAACUGUUUAGUUUUGAGCUUUUCUUUAAUGCACUUUUCAGUUAACAAGUCAACAUCAAUUUCUUUUGCUGUAAAAAAGCUUGAGGAAGGUGGCUUGAGAUUCGUCUUAAGUGUUUAUAGCCCUCUUGCCUAUGCAGUCGGAGAGAUUGAGGUCUGCAGCGUAGAUCCUUCGGGGCUAAAUGCAUUUGUGCUAAGUUAUAGCAUUUUAUAGACAACUUGUUGACUAUGAUUUGUCUUGUAGCUUACUCGCUUAUGUUAUUUUACCUACGCUUAGGAUGUUGAGCGCAUGUCUCUCUCU